rnacentral:rRNA from 1 species
CAGCAGCCACGGUAAUACGAAGGGGGCUAGCGUUGUUCGGAAUUACUGGGCGUAAAGCGCACGUAGGCGGAUUUUUAAGUCAGGGGUGAAAUCCCGAGGCUCAACCUCGGAACUGCCUUUGAUACUGGAGAUCUUGAGUUCGGAAGAGGUUGGUGGGACAGCUAGUGUAGAGGUGAAAUUCGUAGAUAUUAGCUAGAACACCAGUGGCGAAGGCGGCCAACUGGUCCGAUACUGACGCUGAGGUGCGAAAGCGUGGGGAGCAAACAGGAUUAGAUACCCGCGUAGUCCCUGUCUCUUAUAC